UCUGUGAAGCAGUUCUCAUGCAAUUAAACCCAUGGCUUUUAAAGCACUGACAUCUAAGUGCAAGCAACACUGAACAGAAAGUAGCUCUUGGUCUAAGGUUAACAGUACACCUUUCUAGAGAAGAAAGUUUCUGAAAAGAUCUUUGACACCAACCUUCUGAAAGAUCCUUCAGGCUUCCAGACACCACUUUCAUUCUUCACUUGCAUGGUCACUCGCAUUCAGAACAGAAGCCUGGUAGACUUGAGCAAAAGCUCCUUCUCCAACCAAGCUGUCCACACAGACUGAGAGGGAACCUUUACAAGACAGAAAAGAUUAACAAGAAGUCCCACUUGCAAACUUCAACAAAAAGAUGUAAUUACUCAGCCAAAAGAAAAGACACCGGUCAUAUACAAAAGAGCCGCAAGACAUUGAGCUUACUGCAGCGACCAGUUUCACAGUGGAACAAAGUGCUGCUCCAACAACAUGACACUGCUCUAGUCUCAGACUUCACAGAGGAAAACCAUGGCCAAGGCUCCGUACCUGAAGC